GGGGAAUAUUGCACAAUGGGCGCAAGCCUGAUGCAGCCAUGCCGCGUGUAUGAAGAAGGCCUUCGGGUUGUAAAGUACUUUCAGCGGGGAGGAAGGCGAUAAGGUUAAUAACCUUGUCGAUUGACGUUACCCGCAGAAGAAGCACCGGCUAACUCCGUGCCAGCAGCCGCGGUAAUACGGAGGGUGCAAGCGUUAAUCGGAAUUACUGGGCGUAAAGCGCACGCAGGCGGUCUGUCAAGUCGGAUGUGAAAUCCUCGGGCUCAACCUGGGAACUGCAUUCGAAACUGGCAGGCUGGAGUCUUGUAGAGGGGGGUGGAAUUCCAGGUGUAGCGGUGAAAUGCGUAGAGAUCUGGAGGAAUACCGGUGGCGAAGGCGGCCCCCUGGACAAAGACUGACGCUCAGGUGCGAAAGCGUGGGGAGCAAAC
rnacentral:rRNA from 1 species